UACAGAGGGUGCGAGCGUUAAUCGGAAUUACUGGGCGUAAAGCGUGCGUAGACGGUUAUGUAAGUCGGAUGUGAAAGCCCCGGGCUUAACCUGGGAAUUGCAUUCGAGACUGCAUAGCUAGGAUGCGGAAGAGGGAAGUGGAAUUUCCGGUGUAGCGGUGAAAUGCGUAGAUAUCGGAAGGAACACCAGUGGCGAAAGCGACUUCCUGGUCCAGCAUCGACGUUCAGGCACGAAAGCGUGGGGAG
rnacentral:rRNA from 1 species